UCUAAGGGGAGGAGUCUUUGGUUCUAGGUAUUGUUAAAAGUCAAAGAUUUUACUAUUGCGCAUGUCUGGUCUACAUGACUUGCAGUUAUGUAGCUGUUGGCAGUGUGGGAGAAGAGUGUUGUUUCUCUGGCCAGGAAAUAAAUGAAAUGUGCUGGUAUCAGAGACUAAAUUCAUUGUAGCAUCCUGCUUCUGGUGCAGCCAUGAGCAGCAGGCUUCUCUGCUGUGUAAUCAUUUGUCUCCUGAGAGCAGACUUCAAGAAUGCUAUAGUUACACAAUUCCCAAGACACAGAAUUAUUGGGACAGGAAAGGAAUUCAUUCUACAGUGUUCCCAGAAUAUGAAUCAUGUUGCGAUGUUCUGGUAUCGACAAGACCCAGGAUUUGGACUGAAGCUGGUCUAUUAUUCACCUGGCCCUGGCAGCAUUGAAAAAGGAGAUGUCUCUGAGGGGUAUCAUGUUUCUCGAAAUAAUAUAACAUACUUUCCCCUGACCCUGAAGUCUGCCAGCACCAACCAGACAUCUGUGUAUCUCUGCGCCAGCAGUUCAGCCACAGGACUGCAUAGCCACAUCCUCUCUGCACAAAAAAGGUGCAGGCCAAAGAGGAAAAGCCUGCCCACAAAAUUCCUUACCCCAAAUAAGAGAAGCUUCUUCACAAGUAUUGGACAAAAAAUGCCAAACUCUGUAAAAUAUUUGAAGAGAUUUAUUCUGAGCCAAACAUGAGUGAGCAUGGCCAGAGGCAGAAGCUCAAGAGGGCCUAAGAACAUGAGCCCAAGGUGGUCAGGCUACAGCUUCGUUUUACGCCUUUUUAGAGAUAUCAGACAUCAAUCAAUACAUGUAAGCUGUACAUUGGUUCAGUUUGGAAAGGUGGGACAACUCAAAGAGGGGGCUUCCAGUCAUAGGUGGAGGCAAGGACUUUUCAGACUGGCAGUUGGUUGAAA